UACGGGGGGGGGCAAGCGUUGUUCGGAAUUACUGGGCGUAAAGGGCUCGUAGGUGGCCAACUAAGUCAGACGUGAAAUCCCUCAGCUUAACUGGGGAACUGCGUCCGAUACUGGAUGGCUUGAGUUUGGGAGAGGGAUGCGGAAUUCCAGGUGUAGCGGUGAAAUGCGUAGAUAUCUGGAGGAACACCGGUGGCGAAGGCGGCAUCCUGGACCAACACUGACACUGAGGAGCGAAAGCCAGGGGAGCAAACGGG
rnacentral:rRNA from 1 species